ensembl:lncRNA
CAGCUGAUGUGAAAAGGGCUUUUUAAAUACAUUUGAUUGAUUUCAUUGAUUGAUUGAUUGAAUCAAAGUGGUUUGCACAUCAUUUCAAAAAAACUUCCAUUGAAAUUACAUGGAAUAGAUGUUGAAAUUGAGGUAUGUGCUCAGUGGAGGGUACAACACAAAACCAUUGACUCAAGAUGAGAACUGCAGCAAGAUGUCGCUAUUGACGAUGAACCACUGUAGUUUUAUACACAGACAGCAGAGAAUAUGUCGGUGCAGAAGCCCAUUAUCUUUCUCCUCUUCAUAACUCCUCUUCACAACAUCACAAGCAGCGGCUAAAAAAACACUCUUGUGGACAAACUGGCAACUGAGGCCCGGAAAAAUAAAUGAGAGGGAAAGGCUGGUUAAUGAGAAAUGCUAUUUCUACAGCUUUGAUGUCCCCGGUCCACGUAAGCACACAGCUUAGACAAAAACUAAUUAGAGAUGUCGACCACAUCCCAAAGACAUUAAAAACAUAUUAGCACAACAACCAUUUGAGAGGGUGUCCAUGUCCCUCUGUGUGUGUGUGUUUGUGUGUGUGUAUGUUUUACUAUUUGUAGAGUACAUUGAAAGAGUUUAUUAUCAAACAAUUUUGUACUUUUAUUGAGUACUGUAUGAUCAAGAUGAUAUUGUACUGCAUGUGUUACUGUGGGUGCCGAUGUUACUAAUACCAGGCAGAAGCAGAAUUUGGUGACACUUUAUUUGGAUAGUCAUACUAUCAACAAACAAUCUGUUGAUAAGCAACUACUUGCUAAGGUUACGGCAAGGGUUAGGAUUAGGUUUAGAAUAAGGGUUAGGAUUAGGUUUAGAAUAAGGGUUAGGGUAAGGUUUAGAAUAAGGGUUAGAAUAAGGAUUAUAGUUAGAGCUAGGGUUAGUAGAUAGUUAAUUGAAAUGUUACUGAUAGUCCGUAUAGCAUCUACGGAUGGACUAUCCAAAUAAAGUGUUAGAGAGUUUCUACAGUUCCCACGUAUAGACAACUGCUUGCUAAGGUUAGUGUUAGUGCUAGGGUUGGUGCUAGGGUUAGGUUUAGAAUAAGGGUUAGGAUAAGGGCUAAGGUUAGGGUUAGGGUUAGUGCUAGGGUUAGGUUUAGAAUAAGGGUUAGGAUAAGGGCUAAGGUUAGGAUUUGGGCUAAGGUUAGGGUUAGUGCUAGGGUUAGGUUUUUGAAUAAGGGUUAGGAUAAGGGCUAAGGUUAGGGUUAGUGUUAGGGUUAGGUUUAGAAUAAGGGAUAGGAUAAGGGCUAAGGUUAGGGUUAGUGCUAGGGUUAGGUUUUGAAUAAGGGUUAAGAUAAGUGCUACGGUUAGGGUUAGUGCUAGGGUUAGGUUUUGAAUAAGGGUUAGGAUAAGGGCUAAGAUUAGGGUUAGUGCUAGUGUUAGGUUUAGAAUAAGGGUUAGGAUAAGGGCUAAGGUUAGGGUUAGUGUUAGGGUUAGGUUUAGAAUAAGGGUUAGGAUAAGGGCUAAGGUUAGGGUUAGUGUUAGUGUUAGGUUUAGAAUAAGGGUUAGGAUAAGGGCUAAGGUUAGGGUUAGUGUUAGGAUAAGGGCUAAGGUUAGGGUUAGGGCUAGUGCUAGGCCUAGGGUUAGUAGAUAAUUUGCUGAAAUGUUACUGAUAGAUAGUCUGUGUUACAGAGAGUUUCAACAGUCCCCCUAUAGACAGUCUUCUCAGCAGCAUACAUACAGCCACUAUUGAGUUGAUGACUGAAGGAUGAACAGAAUGCCCAUCAAAAAACAUGCAUGUGGAGAACAACAGAUCUGGGUCCUUCUGAAGACUAGCCGACACUUUUGAAAUCGCUGGUGAUCACGAUUUCCACUGUCUACACACCAGGUAGCCUCCAUCUUCAAUAUUACCAGAUAGAGGUGAGGGAGAGAGCUGGGUCAACCAGGCUAGAUGGUAUAAAGAGAAGUAGUCAAAUAAUGGGGAGCAAGAAAGACAGACACACAAAGGGAUUAACACAUGCAGAAAGAUAACUAUCGAGAGAUAACCUGCUAAACUAUUGGCAUAUCAAAUCAAAUCAAAUGUAUUUAUAUAGCCCUUCGUACAUCAGCUGAUAUCUCAAAGUGCCUUAACAGAAACCCAGC